CUGACACUUAGUUUAUUUAGAAUAGUCAACUUGCACUUGACAGGAGGGGUAGCCCAGUAGC
rnacentral:tRNA from 1 species